AUGGGUGUGCCAAGACAUGGAGCAAGGGCCAGGUGGGACACCCAGAAGCCUCUUUGGAAGGUGAUCAGCAGCCUGGCACUAGGGAUGUGCCACCAAAGAGCGCCAAGAUCCCCAGAGGUGCUCACGCUGGGACUUCCCAGGGAUGUGCGCUUCUCCCGGGCAGCACAAACACCCGUGUGUCCCUCAGACAAAUGCUGGAGGACACUCAGACCAGCUGGGAACGUGGGACAUCAGAAAGGAGAAAGGACUUGGGUCACAGUGUGCUCUCUUCUGUAUCUUACAUUCUCCUGCUGUUGUCAUCGUACUUUCUCUGACCUCUUCUUCUGGCUCGUUGCCCUUUGUUCCUUCAGCCACCUGCCUGCAGAGCCUGCAAACCCCGGCAUGGUCCCUUCCUUCCAGCAGCAUCAUCCCUGGAUGUCAGCAAUCCCAGCAGGUUUAUAACACCAGUGGACUUCACUGGAGAGAUGCACGUGGCUGGCUGGGAGCCUGAGCCCUCGACUAUCAGCUCAAGCUGAUGACUACAGCCAGGGCUCCAUGACGCUGAAGAGCUGAAUCCAUCCCAGAUCCUGGAUUGACAAGGCAUUAAUAAAUUGUUAAGGGUUUAUCA
rnacentral:lncRNA from 1 species